rnacentral:rRNA from 1 species
AACGAACGCUGGCGGCAUGCCUAACACAUGCAAGUCGAACGAGACCUUCGGGUCUAGUGGCGCACGGGUGCGUAACGCGUGGGAACCUGCCCUUAGGUUCGGAAUAAAUCCCCGAAAGGGGUGCUAAUACCGGAUAAUGUCUUCGGACCAAAGAUUUAUCGCCUUUGGAUGGGCCCGCGUUGGAUUAGCUAGUUGGUAGGGUAAAAGCCUACCAAGGCGACGAUCCAUAGCUGGUCUGAGAGGAUGAUCAGCCACACUGGGACUGAGACACGGCCCAGACUCCUACGGGAGGCAGCAGUGGGGAAUAUUGGACAAUGGGCGAAAGCCUGAUCCAGCAAUGCCGCGUGAGUGAUGAAGGCCUUAGGGUUGUAAAGCUCUUUUACCCGGGAUGAUAAUGACAGUACCGGGAGAAUAAGCACCGGCUAACUCCGUG